GAUGAACGCUAGCGGCAGGCUUAAUACAUGCAAGUCGAGGGGCAGCACGGUUAGCAAUAACUGGUGGCGACCGGCGCACGGGUGCGUAACACGUAUACAAUCUACCUUAAACGGGGGGAUAGCCUUUCGAAAGAGAGAUUAAUACCCCGUAAUAAAUUGAACGGCAUCGUUUGAUUUUGAAAGCUCCGGCGGUUUGAGAUGAGUAUGCGUCUGAUUAGCUAGUUGGUGAGGUAACGGCUCACCAAGGCGACGAUCAGUAGGGGAUCUGAGAGGACUAACCCCCACACUGGUACUGAGACACGGACCAGACUCCUACGGGAGGCAGCAGUAAGGAAUAUUGGUCAAUGGAGGCAACUCUGUACCAGCCAUGCCGCGUGCAGGAUGACGGCCCUAUGGGUUGUAAACUGCUUUUAUACAAGAGAAAACCCUGGUACGUGUACCAGGUUGAUAGUAUUGUAAGAAUAAGCAUCGGCUAACUUCGUGCCAGCAGCCGCGGUAA
rnacentral:rRNA from 1 species